AUUAAUACCUGGUAAGGGAGAUACCAUGAUCAUGAAGGUGGUUUUCCCAGGGUGAGGCUUAGCCAUUGCAAUCCAGAUAUGCUGAUCCCUGUGAUUUCCCCAAAUGUGGGAAAUUUGACUGCAACAUUUGUGGGAGUAGGGGACUGAGUUCACAUUCUCCCAUA